rnacentral:rRNA from 1 species
UACGUAGGCAGCGAGCGUUGUUCGGAGUUACUGGGCGUAAAGAGUGCGUAGGCGGUUUUCUAAGUUUGGUGUGAAAUCUCCCGGCUCAACUGGGAGGGUGCCCUGAAAACUGUCAGGCUUGAGUCAUGGAGAGGGAUGUGGAAUUCCAGGUGUAGUGGUGAAAUGCGUAGAUAUCUGGAGGAACACCGGUGGCGAAGGCGGCAUCCUGGACCGACACUGACGCUGAGGAGCGAAAGCCAGGGGAGCAAACGGG